GUAACUAGAUAAGAGCUAUUUGUCUGUACUGGGUUUGCUGGGUGUAUAAAGCCGUCAGUACAGGUUACUGCUGUGUGUGUGUGAGACAUGAGGUGUCUGGUGCUGUAACUAGAUAAGAGCUAUUUGUCUGUACUGGGUUUGCUGGGUGUAUAAAGCCGUCAGUACCGGUUACUGCUGUGUGUGUGACUGAGACAUGAGGUGUCUGGUGCUGUAACUAGAUAAGAACUAUUUGUCUGUACUGGGUUUGCUGGGUGUAUAAAGCCGUCAGUACCGGUUACUGCUGUGUGUGACUGAGACAUGAGGUGUCUGGUGCUGUAACUAGAUAAGAGCUAUUUGUCUGUACUGGGUUUGCUGGGUGUAUAAAGCCGUCAGUACCGGUUACUGCUGUGUGUGACUGAGACAUGAGGUGUCUGAUGCUGUAACUAGAUAAGAGCUAUUUGUCUGUACUGGGUUUGCUGGGUGUAUAAAGCCGUCAGUACCGGUUACUGCUGUGUGUGUGUGACUGAGACAUGAGGUGUCUGGUGCUGUAACUAGAUAAGAGCUAUUUGUCUGUACUGGGUUUGCUGGGUGUAUAAAGCCGUCAGUACAGGUUACUGCUGUGUGUGUGACUGAGACAUGAGGUGUCUGGUGCUGUAACUAGAUAAGAGCUAUUUGUCUGUACUGGGUUUGCUGGGUGUAUAAAGCCGUCAGUACCGGUUACUGCUGUGUGUGUGUGACUGAGACAUGAGGUGUCUGGUGCUGUAACUAGAUAAGAGCUAUUUGUCUGUACUGGGUUUGCUGGGUGUAUAAAGCCGUCAGUACAGGUUACUGCUGUGUGUGUGACUGAGACAUGAGGUGUCUGGUGCUGUAACUAGAUAAGAGCUAUUUGUCUGUACUGGGUUUGCUGGGUGUAUAAAGCCGUCAGUACCGGUUACUGCUGUGUGUGUGAGACAUGAGGUGUCUGGUGCUGUAACUAGAUAAGAGCUAUUUGUCUGUACUGGGUUUGCUGGGUGUAUAAAGCCGUCAGUACCGGUUACUGCUGUGUGUGACUGAGACAUGAGGUGUCUGGUGCUGUAACUAGAUAAGAGCUAUUUGUCUGUACUGGGUUUGCUGGGUGUGUAAAGCCGUCAGUACAGGUUACUGCUGUGUGUGACUGAGACAUGAGGGGUCUGGUGCUGUAACUAGAUAAGAGCUAUUUGUCUGUACUGGGUUUGCUGGGUGUAUAAAGCCGUCAGUACCGGUUACUGCUGUGUGUGUGAGACAUGAGGUGUCUGGUGCUGUAACUAGAUAAGAGCUAUUUGUCUGUACUGGGUUUGCUGGGUGUAUAAAGCCGUCAGUACCGGUUACUGCUGUGUGUGUGAGACAUGAGGUGUCUGGUGCUGUAACUAGAUAAGAGCUAUUUGUCUGUACUGGGUUUGCUGUGUGUAUAAAGCCGUCAGUACCGGUUACUGCUGUGUGUGACUGAGACAUGAGGUGUCUGGUGCUGUAACUAGAUAAGAGCUAUUUGUCUGUACUGGGUUUGCUGGGUGUAUAAAGCCGUCAGUACCGGUUACUGCUGUGUGUGUGUGUGUGAGACAUGAGGUGUCUGGUGCUGUAACUAGAUAAGAGCUAUUUGUCUGUACUGGGUUUGCUGGGUGUAUAAAGCCGUCAGUACCGGUUACUGCUGUGUGUGUGACUGAGACAUGAGGUGUCUGGUGCUGUAACUAGAUAAGAGCUAUUUGUCUGUACUGGGUUUGCUGGGUGUAUAAAGCCGUCAGUACCGGUUACUGCUGUGUGUGAGACAUGAGGUGUCUGGUGCUGUAACUAGAUAAGAGCUAUUUGUCUGUACUGGGUUUGCUGGGUGUAUAAAGCCGUCAGUACCGGUUACUGCUGUGUGUGUGACUGAGACAUGAGGUGUCUGGUGCUGUAACUAGAUAAGAGCUAUUUGUCUGUACUGGGUUUGCUGGGUGUAUAAAGCCGUCAGUACAGGUUACUGCUGUGUGUGACUGAGACAUGAGGUGUCUGGUGCUGUAACUAGAUAAGAGCUAUUUGUCUGUACUGGGUUUGCUGGGUGUAUAAAGCCGUCAGUACAGGUUACUGUGUGUGUGUGACUGAGACAUGAGGUGUCUGGUGCUGUAACUAGAUAAGAGCUAUUUGUCUGUACUGGGUUUGCUGGGUGUAUAAAGCCGUCAGUACAGGUUACUGCUGUGUGUGUGUGAGACAUGAGGUGUCUGGUGCUGUAACUAGAUAAGAGCUAUUUGUCUGUACUGGGUUUGCUGGGUGUAUAAAGCCGUCAGUACAGGUUACUGCUGUGUGUGUGUGAGACAUGAGGUGUCUGGUGCUGUAACUAGAUAAGAGCUAUUUGUCUGUACUGGGUUUGCUGGGUGUAUAAAGCCGUCAGUACCGGUUACUGCUGUGUGUGUGUGAGACAUGAGGUGUCUGGUGCUGUAACUAGAUAAGAGCUAUUUGUCUGUACUGGGUUUGCUGGGUGUAUAAAGCCGUCAGUACAGGUUACUGCUGUGUGUGUGUGUGUGAGACAUGAGGUGUCUGGUGCUGUAACUAGAUAAGAGCUAUUUGUCUGUACUGGGUUUGCUGGGUGUAUAAAGCCGUCAGUACCGGUUACUGCUGUGUGUGUGUGAGACAUGAGGUGUCUGGUGCUGUAACUAGAUAAGAGCUAUUUGUCUGUACUGGGUUUGCUGGGUGUAUAAAGCAGUCAGUACAGGUUACUGUGUGUGUGUGACUGAGACAUGAGGUGUCUGGUGCUGUAACUAGAUAAGAGCUAUUUGUCUGUACUGGGUUUGCUGGGUGUAUAAAGCCGUCAGUACCGGUUACUGCUGUGUGUGUGUGAGACAUGAGGUGUCUGGUGCUGUAACUAGAUAAGAGCUAUUUGUCUGUACUGGGUUUGCUGGGUGUAUAAAGCCGUCAGUACCGGUUACUGCUGUGUGUGUGACUGAGACAUGAGGUGUCUGGUGCUGUAACUAGAUAAGAGCUAUUUGUCUGUACUGGGUCUGCUGGGUGUAUAAAGCCGUCAGUACCGGUUACUGCUGUGUGUGUGACUGAGACAUGAGAUGUCUGGUGCUGUAACUAGAUAAGAGCUAUUUGUCUGUACUGGGUUUGCUGGGUGUAUAAAGCCGUCAGUACCGGUUACUGCUGUGUGUGACUGAGACAUGAGGUGUCUGGUGCUGUAACUAGAUAAGAGCUAUUUGUCUGUACUGGGUUUGCUGGGUGUAUAAAGCCGUCAGUACAGGUUACUGCUGUGUGUGUGACUGAGACAUGAGGUGUCUGGUGCUGUAACUAGAUAAGAGCUAUUUGUCUGUACUGGGUUUGCUGGGUGUAUAAAGCCGUCAGUACAGGUUACUGCUGUGUGUGACUGAGACAUGAGGUAUCUGGUGCUGUAACUAGAUAAGAGCUAUUUGUCUGUACUGGGUUUGCUGGGUGUAUAAAGUACAGGUUCCUACUUUGCUGUAAUGUCUGGUUAAGAAGCAAGGGCUGGGAGUCUGUUAUGCAGUGAGAUGUAUGAGGUCACUAUGUAGAGCUCCAGAGGUUUGUGCAGUCUCUGUGCUGGUGCAACUUGGUACAGGCCAUGAGAGCUAAUGUUCAGGGAGUAAACACCUGGUCAAGGUGUUUGCUAAUAAAGCGAAGACAUCCGGGGCUACGGGAGAUCUGAUGGAGAUGCUGUGAAUGGUCAGUUAAUGGGUAUUAAGCGCUACACCUUCCUAUCUCACCAUUUGUCCAGCUUAUGACAUCAUCUACAUUAGGGGGCACUCCUUUCCAGAGCUCGCCAUUCUUUGGGUAUCCUGAGUCUGGUCUUCCAGUCUUCUCAUCUAAUCUCCAAAACUGAUUGUUGCGGAAGAAAUACGUUUUCUUGUUUCCUGGCCAAACAAAAGCACCAUCUAUGCUAUCGGUAUUCAGUCCAAAAUCUGUAAGUGCUCGUGGGUAUCCCGGCUCCACCAGGGUGUCUUUAAACACCCAAUACCGACUCCCUGAAGGUGACAAAGAAAUCAAUGAAGUGUGCUAGAAUUUUUUUUUUUAAGGAACACUGAACCCAACAUUUUUUUUUCGUGAUUCAGAUAGACCAUGAAAUUUUAAGCAACUUUCUAAUUUACUCUUAUCAAAUUUUCUUCAUUCUCUUGGUAUCUUUAUUUGAAAUGCAAGAAUGUAAUUUUAUAUGCCGGCCCAUUUGCGGUGAACAACCUGGGUUGUCCUUGCUGAUUGGUGAAUAAAUUCAUCCACCAAUAAAAAUGUGCUGUCCAGAGUUCUGAACCACAAAAACUUAGAUGCCUUCUUUUUCAAAUAAAGAUAGCAAGAGAACGAAGAAAAAUUGAUAAUAGGUGUAAAUUAGAAAGUUGCUUUAAAUUGCCUGCUCUGUCUGAAUCAUGAAAGAAAAUAUUUGGGUUCAGUGUCCCUUUAAGGAUUUAGCAAAUGUGCUUUCUUCUGCAGAUAUUGUGAAGGGGCACAAGGAUGAUAUUUAAUUUAGGCGUGCCGCUGCCUGCAACCAUAUUUGUCAUUCGUUUCUACAAUGAAUGCCGAAUGUGACAAAAUGAACACGCCUAGCGCAGGGCCGGAUUUACAUCUCAGAGCAUUUUAAUAUUGCACUAGUGCUUGCACAGAAGUGUGUUAGCCUCUUGCAAAAGAGUUAAACACAUAGUCAAUGUCAGUUCUGAGACAGCAAUACACAUCUGUGCAGACCCAGAUGGGCUCAUAGGACAUGUUUAUUGACAAGCCAUUAGUGUAUUGCUUUUCUGGAGAUGACUUUGACUAUGUGCUUAACAUUUUGUUGGAGUUAAACACAGUUUUGUGUAAACAAUAGCAAUAUUAAAACUAGCAGCAUGCAAGCUCAUCAACAACAUGUGCAGCCAGUGGAAGAAAACCUAAAAUGUAGGUAUUUUUUCCACUACAUGAAAAAAAUCUUGUGAACUCUGAUAUUUUUGGUACAAAUACACACAGAUGUUACAUUUAUUUAGUUCUGAAAUAUAGAUAUAAUAUGAUGUUGCUCUCAAAGGAAAACAUGGAAUGUUGUAGAUUAUAUGUAAUCCAGGGGUCAACAAAUGUGUUUAAAAUUAGAAAUUCAAUUUACCACAAUACAAAAAUACCACACUUACUUGAUAAAAGAACAGAUGAACAAUUUUUUAUGUGAUGUGUGUGUACGUGUGUAUAUAUAUAUAUAUAUAUAUAUAUAUAUACACAUACAUACAUACAUACAAACAAAUAUGCCAUGUGAGUGGUUUACACACAUACACAUUUUACAGCCUUACAGUCUACAAAUUUUGUUGUCAAAGUGCCCUAAAGGCUGUAAAAUUUGUAAAUCACAAUUGGUAGCUUGUAAUAAAGAGCAGAGCAGCUAGUCCCACAUAACCUCCUCACCUCCAAGGCCUUUAUAGAACAAAAACAUUCAUCCUGAAGCAGAAUUUAACCCCCUGGCUAUAAAAAUGCACUACAGCAUAUAACAAGUGAAUACACUGCAACCCUCUCUGGUAGCCAAGGGGUUAAAGUGCUCUGCUUGUUAUGUUGUCAUUCUAGGCAGCAUUAGAAGCCUUGUACAGUCCUAACCUGUUGUUCUGAAGCUUUCAUUCCUCAACAAAAAGUGUCUGCUACACAUCAGCAUGGAGCUUGGCUGUGUGAGGCAACAGAAGUACAUAAAAUAAAAGUGAAACUAAACAUGCCUGGCGAAAAUGGGAGGGGUUUAGUUUUAAUAUUUGCCCCUCUCUCCUUCAUGGCUCCCUCAACUGCUGUAACAUAUUCCCAAUAAACACUCGACUCUGUAA